AAGCCCGUGUUAUGUCUUCCCUCUUUCUUUGGCGCUUCCGAUGCACAAAUGGUGGCGGUGAAGCAGCAGGCCCGAGAGAGCGUGCAGGGGAGGAAGGAGUUCCUGGUGGAGGUGCUGAUACUGGCGGUGCUCAGCCACCCUAACUUCGUCAGCCUGAUCGGCUUCUGCGCGCAGGGGACAAGCGGCUGCUGUUGUACGAGUACAUGCCCUUCGGCAGCCUGGAGAGUCAUCUCUUUGCGGUUCCAUUAUAUAUAUUCACUUUGGAAGGCAAAAAUUAUAUGUUGGCUGGUUGCCCGAGAAAUCAAAAAGGCUAAAUCUUGAGUUGUAUGGAGCAUGGUCAUUUGCUUGAAGUUUCCAAUGGACUGUAUAUACCAUUGAAUGAGAGGAAUUAUUCCAUGAGUGUGGACAAAUUGAGCUGAUCGAUUGAUUGAGAAAAUAUUGUGUGGAUGUUCUCAGAUCUCCUUGCUCCACUACUCCUUGGAUUAUUACCUUUGUCCAUAUAUUUUGGUUUAUCUGAGCUGAAGAUAUAACCUGCAAAUCUGCACAUGCUUUUGCCAAUGUAUCCAUCCUGAUAUUUCUUAUAAUGUGGAAGUUAUCAGAGCCCUUUUUUAAGCAUCCACUUUGAGUUCACCGGUGGCAGGUAGCUUGUACAAUACUGAAUUUUCAAGGUAACAAAAUCGGUUAUGCGUUGCAGCAAAAUCGAAUGUGGUAGAGAAAAUAUUCAGGCUUCGUAGCGAAACAAUGCCUCUGUUAGGAUAGUACACCCAGAUCCCCGAUGCAUUUGGUUUAUUAUGAUGUAUUGAUACUGAAGUUUGUACCAUAUCUUGAAUUAUGAUUUCAGCAGUGAUAAUAUACUCUAGAUAAAAGGAUGGACACAUAAGCUUGGGACAUGAUUGUGGCCGCUGUACUUCAAGAAGGUGCGGAGCUACGGUGAGCAGCAG